GCGAACGCUGGCGGCAGGCUUAACACAUGCAAGUCGAACGGGCACCCUCGGGUGUCAGUGGCAGACGGGUGAGUAACACGUGGGAACGUACCCUUUGGUUCGGAACAACUCUGGGAAACUGGAGCUAAUACCGGAUACGCCCUUGGCCUUUGGCCCUGGGGAAAGGUUUACUGCCGAAGGAUCGGCCCGCGUCUGAUUAGCUAGUUGGUGAGGUAACGGCUCACCAAGGCGACGAUCAGUAGCUG
rnacentral:rRNA from 1 species